rnacentral:rRNA from 1 species
AUUGAACGCUGGCGGCAGGCCUAACACAUGCAAGUCGAGCGGAGCGGCGGACGGGUGAGUAAUUCAUAGGUAUCUGCCUGGUAGUAGGGGCUAACGUCCGUAAUCGGGCGCUAAUCUCACAUACUAUUAGAUUAGCCUAGGUCGGAGUAGCUAGUUGGUGGGGUAAAGGCCUACAAAGGCGCCGAUCCGUAACUGGUCUGAGAGGAUGAUCAGGAAAACUGGAACUGAGACACGGUCCGGACUCCUACGGGAGGCAGCAGUGGGGAAUAUUGGACAAGGGGCGAAAGCCUGAUCCAGCCAUGCCGCGUGUGUGAAGAAGGUCUUCGGAUUGUAAAGCACUUUAAGUUGGGAGGCGUUACCAACAGAAUAAGCACCGGCUAACUUCGUGCCAGCAGCCGCGGUAAUAC